rnacentral:rRNA from 1 species
CCUACGGGAGGCAGCAGUCGAGAAUUAUUCACAAUGGGGGAAACCCUGAUGGUGCGACGCCGCGUGGGGGAAUGAAGGUCUUCGGAUUGUAAACCCCUGUCAUGUGGGAGCAAAUUAAAAAGAUAGUACCACAAGAGGAAGAGACGGCUAACUCUGUGCCAGCAGCCGCGGUAAUACAGAGGUCUCAAGCGUUGUUCGGAAUCACUGGGCGUAAGGCGUGCGUAGGCUGUUUCGUAAGUCGUGUGUGAAAGGCGCGGGCUCAACCCGCGGACGGCACAUGAUACUGCGAGACUAGAGUAAUGGAGGGGGAACCGGAAUUCUCGGUGUAGCAGUGAAAUGCGUAGAUAUCGAGAGGAACACUCGUGGCGAAGGCGGGUUCCUGGACAUUAACUGACGCUGAGGCACGAAGGCCAGGGGAGCGAAAGGGAUUAGAUACCCCGGUAGUC